rnacentral:rRNA from 1 species
CUGCAGGGGAGACUGGAAUUCCUGGUGUAGCGGUGGAAUGCGCAGAUAUCAGGAGGAACACCGGUGGCGAAGGCGGGUCUCUGGGCAGUAACUGACGCUGAGGAGCGAAAGCGUGGGGAGCGAACAGGAUUAGAUACCCUGGUAGUCCACGCCGUAAACGGUGGGUACUAGGUGUGGGUUUCCUUCCUUGGGAUCCGUGCCGUAGCUAACGCAUUAAGUACCCCGCCUGGGGAGUACGGCCGCAAGGCUAAAACUCAAAGAAAUUGACGGGGGCCCGCACAAGCGGCGGAGCAUGUGGAUUAAUUCGAUGCAACGCGAAGAACCUUACCUGGGUUUGACAUGCACAGGACGCCGGCAGAGAUGUCGGUUCCCUUGUGGCCUGUGUGCAGGUGGUGCAUGGCUGUCGUCAGCUCGUGUCGUGAGAUGUUGGGUUAAGUCCCGCAACGAGCGCAACCCUUGUCUCAUGUUGCCAGCGGGUAAUGCCGGGGACUCGUGAGAGACUGCCGGGGUCAACUCGGAGGAAGGUGGGGAUGACGUCAAGUCAUCAUGCCCCUUAUGUCCAGGGCUUCACACAUGCUACAAUGGCCGGUACAAAGGGCUGCGAUGCCGCGAGGUUAAGCGAAUCCUUUUAAAGCCGGUCUCAGUUCGGAUCG